rnacentral:rRNA from 1 species
CCUACGGGUGGCAGCAGUAGGGAAUCUUCCACAAUGGGCGAAAGCCUGAUGGAGCAACGCCGCGUGUGAUGAAGGCUUUCGGGUCGUAAAGCACUGUUGUAUGGGAAGACCGGCAAGAAUGGGAAUUGUUUUUAGUUUACGGGUCCAAUCCAGGAAGGGGCGGCUUAAUUACUUCCAAGCACCGCGGUUAUUCCUUAUUUCCCGAGCGUUUCCCGGAUUUAUUGGGCGUAAAGCGAGCGCGGACGGUUUAUUAAGUCUGAUGUGAAAGCCCGGAGCUCAACUCCGGAAUGGCAUUGGAAACUGGUUAACUUGAGUGCAGUAGAGGUAAGUGGAACUCCAUGUGUAGCGGUGGAAUGCGUAGAUAUAUGGAAGAACACCAGUGGCGAAGGCGGCUUACUGGACUGCAACUGACGUUGAGGCUCGAAAGUGUGGGUAGCAAACAGGAUUAGAUACCCUAGUAGUC